CCUACGGGCGGCAGCAGUGAGGAAUAUUGGUCAAUGGACGAGAGUCUGAACCAGCCAAGCAGCGUGAAGGAUGACGGCCCUCUGGGUUGUAAACUUCUUUUAUAAAGGAAUAAAACGAGGCAAGUGUGCCUUUUUGCAUGUACUUUAUGAAUAAGGAUAGGCUAACUCCGUGCCAGCAGCCGCGGUAAUACGGAGGGUCCGAGCGUUACCCGGAUUGAUUGGGUGUAAAGGGAGCGUAGAUGGGUUGUUAAGUCAGUUGUGAAAGUUUGCGGCUCAACCGUAAAAUUGCAAUUGAUACUGGCAGUCUUGAGUACAGUUGAGGUAGGCGGAAUUCGUGGUGUAGCGGUGAAAUGCGUAGAUAUCACGAAGAACCCCGAUUGCGAAGGCAGCUUACUAAACUGUGUCUGACAUUGAUGCUCGAAAGUGUGGGUAUCGAACAGGAUUAGAUACCCUUGUAGUC
rnacentral:rRNA from 1 species